GGCGGCGUGCUUAACACAUGCAAGUCGAACGAUGAACCACUUCGGUGGGGAUUAGUGGCGAACGGGUGAGUAACACGUGGGCAAUCUGCCCUUCACUCUGGGACAAGCCCUGGAAACGGGGUCUAAUACCGGAUAACACUGCGGAUCGCAUGGUCUGCGGUUAAAAGCUCCGGCGGUGAAGGAUGAGCCCGCGGCCUAUCAGCUUGUUGGUGAGGUAAUGGCUCACCAAGGCGACGACGGGUAGCCGGCCUGAGAGGGCGACCGGCCACACUGGGACUGAGACACGGCCCAGACUCCUACGGGAGGCAGCAGUGGGGAAUAUUGCACAAUGGGCGAAAGCCUGAUGCAGCGACGCCGCGUGAGGGAUGACGGCCUUCGGGUUGUAAACCUCUUUCAGCAGGGAAGAAGCGAAAGUGACGGUACCUGCAGAAGAAGCGCCGGCUAACUACGUGCCAGCAGCCGCGGUAAUACGUAGGGCGCAAGCGUUGUCCGGAAUUAUUGGGCGUAAAGAGCUCGUAGGCGGCUUGUCACGUCGAUUGUGAAAGCCCGAGGCUUAACCUCGGGUCUGCAGUCGAUACGGGCUAGCUAGAGUGUGGUAGGGGAGAUCGGAAUUCCUGGUGUAGCGGUGAAAUGCGCAGAUAUCAGGAGGAACACCGGUGGCGAAGGCGGAUCUCUGGGCCAUUACUGACGCUGAGGAGCGAAAGCGUGGGGAGCGAACAGGAUUAGAUACCCUGGUAGUCCACGCCGUAAACGGUGGGCACUAGGUGUUGGCGACAUUCCACGUCGUCGGUGCCGCAGCUAACGCAUUAAGUGCCCCGCCUGGGGAGUACGGCCGC
rnacentral:rRNA from 1 species